GUGCUAUUGUUAUCCCUAUAUUACAUAUGGGGAAAUUGAGGCAGGGCAUGAUAAGUGAUUUGAGAUCAGUAGGUGGACUGAGGCAGAUAUUUCAGAGCUGAGAAGACUCAAGAAAACCAUAAAGAACAAGAAAUUAAUCAUUUCUUUUCUUAAAGGAGAUUUUAGGCAAAAAAAGGGCAUGAUCCAUUUUAGCCCUAGGACUUCUGAUAAUUGCCCCUUGGUCAUGAAUGAACCCAGUGUCAUCUGAACUGUGUGUCUUUGCUCAAUGAAUUUGUAUCCGCAGGCUGUGAGCUUUGGUGCUGACUGAGAGGGCAAGCGUUGUCAAGAUCAGUAUGAUGUGAACUACAUUCAAUAUAUACAAUACUGGGAAGACACCAGACCCAGGAACUAAAAGGAAUGAAAAUUGCUUCUAAUGGUCUUAAGGAGAAUGUUUCUGAAAGCUCGCUUACUGACCUGCACAAUGAUGAGAUUGUUUUUCUUUGGUUUAAGCUGAUUACUGACGAUGUUCAGAUUAAAAUUGUUUGACUGCUUUCCGUGAAGUGGACCUUAGCGGACACAUGGUAGCCCAUGAGUGAAUCUCAUGUCGAUGUCAAAACCACCGGUGGCUACUUGUUCCCCCUCUUUUGUGUUGGUUUUACCAAGAAGUGCAGCCACCAGAUGUUUACGACCUUUCAUGCCUGGCACGAGAUCCAUCAAAUUUUCAGCAAUAACUACAACAACAAAAAUUAUAGAAACCAUGAUCUGGGAGAUGUGGAAAAAUGACUUGAAUAAAGUUGUUGAUAAACUGACUCCGGACAGCGUUGGAAAUACAUAGAAAUGAUUUGCGAGUCCAUCUACCCUCUCCUUGAUGUUUUUGUUUGAAAAGUGAAGCUGUUCUAGAAGCCUGGGAAACUAAUAGUAUUUCCUGUUGAUGAUGGUGACACUGGAAAACAUUCUAGAGAUGAAAGAGGCAGGAAAGCAAAAGGCAGGGAAGAAUCCUUGGAGCCCCGUGGCAAGAUAAAAGUCAAGAUGACUGGCCGUGGCCCAGCAGGGUCAUGCAGGGUGUGGAUACCAUCAAAGUCAGAAAUAAGAAGGCACAUACCCUCCCAGGGUGAGGUCUCCAGGAAAUAGGACCGAGUGCUGGAGAUUGAUGGCAGAAGGACUCAUUUUGUAUCUCUGUAAAUGGAGGGUCUGGGUCACUCCCCAGCUGGGUUCCUUACUUCCUAUGUGUCUUUGGGUAAGUUGCUUCCGUCUUGGGCCUCAUUUUCUCCAUCUGUAUAAUGAUGGGAUUGGACUAGAUGACUUUGAAGAUCCCUUCUGGCUCUUAGUCAGUUUCUCCUCUUUUCCAUGUCAGGUGGUGAUUAACUUGUGAUUCUCCUGUAUCUUUAUUAUACAUGCUUUUGUAUUUGAGUUACUUGUGCAUCAUAAGGCUCGCUACACUGUAAGCUCCAUGAGGGCAGGCUUUCAUCUAAACUUGUAUUUCCCCCAGAGACUUGCAAGGGGCUUUGCACACAGUAGGUGCUUGAUAAGUGUAUAAUGGAUCAUGGGAGCAUAGAUUUAGAACUGGAAAGAACC